GCAAUUUGUGAUGUCAAUUCAGUUCCCAUUGCAUAGUCAAUGUGCUUUGCAAUGGUUCAAUUGUCUUUCUCAUAUGAGAGUUGCAGGAAUUUUGUUUGAUGAAUUACAUAAAUGGUCAAUACCAAGCCAAGCUCUAGUUAUUUUACUAUCUUGACGAAUGUGAUGAAAAAAACCCAAUUAUGUUUAUAGCUUAGACUGAAAGCAAACACCUAUCAAAAACUAAAAUUCCCAAAACUCAAUUCUACAUGAAAAUACAAAAGCCACGGAAUCAAAUUAUCAAAUAAACCAAGCCACCGAAUCAGAUUAAACCAUCAAGCAGGUUCCAAGAUAAUCAAUCACAAAUUUAGCAACAUAACACAACAAAAAGCUAUUAAAAAAAAUAUAAAAAAUUGAUCUGGUGCUGAUUAUUAAAAUUUGAAGAUUUUCCUAGUAUUGAGAGAAAGAAUGUUUAGUUGUGAAGAGAGAAACUUUUGGGGGAAAGGGAAAUGCUUCGAACUGAUAGAUGAAAUCACACAAUCGUCGACUUAAACUUCCGUCUGAGUGUCUGGGCUUGAGAAAUUGUGUGAGCUGGCUUGAGAAUCGUCGAAUGGAAGUAUGAUUCUCAUUGUGAAUCGUCAUGGUUGGGCAUUUGAGGGUUUUAGCAAGAAUGGGGUAGUGGUGGAGGAGAGAGAAGAAAGAGAGAGUUUCAAAGGGACUAAAGGAGAGUUUUGUUCAGGAGAUGAAUUUUUAGGGUAUAGUUUCAGAGUGAGUGAAAAAAUUGAGAAGGAGUUAGAAGAAUUGGGGCUAGAGUUUGAGAGGGAGCUGAAGUUUCAGAGAGAGUUUGCGAGGGAGAGUAAAAAUUUUGGGUUAGGGCAUUGACUCAAACUUUACGCAUCAGGGGUAUAUUACCAAAAAAUGACCCUCUUAAAAAUAAAAUAAAAACUAAUCACUUUAGGCAUCUAUAUUUAUGUAGAUGAUGCUAAAGGGGAAUAAAGGCAUCGUCAUAAAUAAACAAAAAUGCGCGCUGAUGUCUUUAUACUUGUUUAGUAUUGUUAUUUAUGAAAUUGAUGACUAAUCUACUAAUAGGAUCGAUUUCCCUCUUUACCGAUGCCUAUCUAGUGUUGCUGUAAGUGAAAUUUGACUUAGUGUCACAACCUCUCAAAAACACCUUUCCUAAAGUGACGGCUCUAAGGAGAAUGAAGGGUCCAUUUACCCAAAAUUCCUAUGUUAGAAAAGGACAGAUGGAAACAGAAGAAUAUCAGAGAAUAAGACAAAACUUCGCAAGGACC
rnacentral:lncRNA from 1 species